rnacentral:rRNA from 1 species
AGUGAACGCUGGCGGUAGGCCUAACACAUGCCAGUCGAACGGCAGCACAGUAAGAGCUUGCUCUUACGGGUGGCGAGUGGCGGACGGGUGAGGAAUACAUCGGAAUCUACUUUUUCGUGGGGGAUAACGUAGGGAAACUUACGCUAAUACUGCAUACGACCUACGGGUGAAAGCAGGGGAUCUUCGGGCCUUGCGCGAUUGAAUGAGCCGAUGUCGGAUUAGCUAGUUGGCGGGGUAAAGGCCCACCAAGGCGACGAUCCGUAGCUGGUCUGAGAGGAUGAUCAGCCACACUGGAACUGAGACACGGUCCAGACUCCUACGGGAGGCAGCAGUGGGGAAUAUUGGACAAUGGGCGCAAGCCUGAUCCAGCCAUACCGCGUGGGUGAAGAAGGCCUUCGGGUUGUAAAGCCCUUUUGUUGGGAAAGAAAAGCAGCAGGUUAAUACCCCGCUGUUCUGACGGUACCCAAAGAAUAAGCACCGGCUAACUUCGUG